GGAGGCAGCAGUUUCGAAUUAUUCACAAUGGGCGAAAGCCUGACUGGUGCGACGCCGCGUGAGGGAUGAAGGUCUUCGGAUCGUAAACCUCUGUCACCGGGGAAGAAUGGCCAUGACCUAACACGUCAUGGAUUGACUUAACCCGGAGAGGAAGCAGUGGCUAACUCUGUGCCAGCAGCCGCGGUAAUACAGAGACUGCAAGCGUUAUUCGGAUUCACUGGGCGUAAAGGGUGCGCAGGCGGUUAUGUGUGUUAGAUGUGAAAGCCCGAGGCUCAACCUCGGAAUUGCGUCUAAAACUACAUGACUAGAGUACCGGAGAGGAUAGCGGAAUUCACGGUGUAGCAGUGAAAUGCGUAGAUAUCGUGAAGAACACCAGCGGCGAAGGCGGCUAUCUGGAAGGUAACUGACGCUCAGGCACGAAAGCGUGGGGAGCAAAAGGGAUUAGAUACCCCUGUAGUCCACGCCCUAAGCGGUGCAGACUAGGUGUUGGCUGAAUUCGACCCCGUCAACGCGAAGCUAACGCGUUACCAGUGCCUUGACAUGCAUUGGACCGUCGCUGAAAGGCGACUUUCCCGCAAGGGACCGAUGCACAGGUGCUGCAUGGCUGUCGUCAGCUCGUGUCGUGAGAUGUUGCCUUAAGUGGCGCAACGAGCGCAACCCCUGUCCUUAGUUGCCAUCAUUCAGUUGGGCACUCUAAGGAGACAAACCUCUUUUAGAGGUGGGAAGGUGGGGAUGACGUCAAGUCAGGAUGGCCCUUACGGCCUGGGCUGCACACGUGCUACAAUGCUCGGUACAGAGGGAAGCAAGACCGCGAGGUGGAGCGAAUCCUCAAAGCCGAGCCCAGUUCAGAUUGGAGUCUGCAACUCGACUCCAUGAAGCCGGAAUCGCUAGUAAUGGCGCAUCAGCUACGGCGCCGUGAAUACGUUCCCGGACCUUGUACACACCGCCAUACGGAUAUG
rnacentral:rRNA from 1 species